UAAGGCACAAGCAUUUCUGAUUUUCUAGAGAUUCAGAAUCAAUUCAUUGGGGCAAACGGUCCAGCCUGCAAUUGAGGCAUGCCGGCUGUUCUACAUCCCAGCAUGACGGAUGGGCCCUGUAAAUUUGGGACAAUGGUAGGGAAAACGCGACGGAUGGGCCCUUGUACAAAAGGAACAUGCUUACAAGGGUUAUACAAGUAUAUGACCCUCAUCUGGGCCAAAUGGAUGCAACCAGGAUGAGCAGGCUAGACACGAGCUUAUCACGUCUCGCCUCCACGAUGCAUUGUUCGGCUGCCUAAACAACUUACAUGCUGGGUGGCCAACACCCAAGGAUAACUGGUCCACUGUUUUCCCCCGUAUCAUGGAUACCUAAAUCACCAGAGGAAACAGGUAUUUGUGUUAUGCACAUCACCAGGCACCAUGAUGUUGAGAAGCUACGAAUGCCUAUCACCAAGAUUAACUUGGCGAAAACUAAGAAAAUCCAUUCUGCA